rnacentral:rRNA from 1 species
AGGGCGAACGCUGGCGGCGUGCCUAACACAUGCAAGUCGAGCGGUAAGGCCUUUCGGGGUACACGAGCGGCGAACGGGUGAGUAACUCGUGGGUGAUCUGCCCUGCACUCUGGGAUAAGCCUGGGAAACUGGGUCUAAUACCGGAUAUGACCUGCUCUCGCAUGGGGGGUGGGUGGAAAGAUUUAUCGGUGCAGGAUGGGCCCGCGGCCUAUCAGCUUGUUGGUGGGGUAAUGGCCUACCAAGGCGACGACGGGCAGCCGACCUGAGAGGGUGACCGGCCACACUGGGACUGAGACACGGCCCAGACUCCUACGGGAGGCAGCAGUGGGGAAUAUUGCACAAUGGGCGAAAAGCCUGAUGCAGCGACGCCGCGUGAGGGAUGAAGGCCUUCGGUUGUAAACCUCUUCUAGCAGGACGAAGACGCAAGUGACGGUACCUGCAGAAGAAGAGACCGGACUAACUAACGUGCCAGCAGACCGC